UUUCUUGUUUUCAACAUGGCUGUUCAGGCUCCCAAAAUGGCCGGCACCAACAAUACUAACAUGAUGUACUUUAUAAAUUAUACCCCACUAGGUGACACUCACUUGUCAAACUGUGUGAUUGAAAAAAGGUUUCAAGACACAGAUUAAGUCAUCAUAAAGCUCAAAACUCUCAAGUUAAUUUGCCAUCAUCAAAUCUCCCAUAUGAAAUGCUUAAAAAGCUUUAAUCCGAAGAUGAUGUUAAGAAGCUCUUAUAUCCCAUAUCAUCUUCGGAACUUUCAACAGAAUCACUGUGUGAUAAUGAUAGGGAAUCGACUCUUGCUCUCAUAAUUCAAAACUCCUACUAUUAUGAAAAAUGGCAAAUGGUUCAUCCGAUCGCUUGUGACGUAUCUGCAACUCCACCACUGGAUUUUAACAAAAGUGGGAUUAAGAUACGACGUAAGACGAAGCGUAUCGUAGCGAAACAUCAUCAAGAGAAGCUUUAAUACGUGUUGUGGAGUUUACAAUUUUCCCACGUAGACAAAGUGAAAACGGAACUCUUUUUUUUUAAUUUCUUUCACGCAAUCUCAAAUGUGAAUCCAGAUUACCACCAUUUAUUAUUUCUCAGAUACUAAUUCCUUCAUUGACUCAGAAAUGUUAAUUGAUUACAUCCUGGGCAUUGGAUGAUUAUGGAAUGUAAGCAACCCCACAUACAAAAAAUUUCAGAGACGUUCAAACGAUUGGAACCAAGUUUCGAAAACGAUAUUCACGUGUAACUCUAGAAAACAGAAAUGAAUAUGUUAAAUUAGCAAUUCAAUACCGACUUCAUGAGUUUGAUUUUGCCGUAUCUGCAAUAAGAGAAGGAAUGUCCCGAGUUAUACCCGUUCCUCUUUUGUCUCUUUUUACUGGCUAUGAAUUGGAAGUAAUGGUUUGUGGAAGUCCGGAUAUCCCAUUACAUCUUCUCAAAUCUGUAUCGACAUACAAAGGUAAAAACUAUUAUUAGUUUUUUUCCCAACCUUUUUUGUGCCACAGACCGGUUUUAUGAUAAAAUAAUUAAUAACCGCCAUUAA
rnacentral:lncRNA from 1 species